UAAGCUCGUAUCUCCUCGGCCUCCUUCCUCGACCACGGCAUGGCGGACACUCCUCCCUUGAAGCCUCCGGCGGAACACACCCGGCUGCCUGAUGGGUGACCCGGGCAGAUCUGGAUCUGGAUCUAUGAUGCGCAGGGCACCUGUACAGGUGCCAACCCCAUGACCUGCUGAUUAACCUGGGGCAGGUGACCCCUCCACCUCCCCUGCCAGGCUGAGGUGUCCCGGCCUCCCCGCCAAGGUGGUGGCUGCCUGGUGCUCCCCCUCACCUGCCCGGCCCAGCUCCCCGGCACACUUAACCACAACGCUGGCACAGGUGAUGGUUGCUAACGAGGUGUCUUCCUUCUCCUCAGGUGUGCUGGCUGCCCCUCACCUGCCCAGCACAAUUAC